CUGGGAAUUUUGCGCAAUGGGCGAAAGCCUGACGCAGCAACGCCGCGUGGGGGAUGAAGGCCUUCGGGUUGUAAACCCCUUUUGAUCGGGACGAAAAAAAUGACGGUACCGGUAGAAAAAGCACCGGCUAACUCUGUGCCAGCAGCCGCGGUAAUACAGAGGGUGCGAGCGUUAUUCGGAAUCACUGGGCGUAAAGCGCGCGUAGGCGGUUUGGUAAGUCUGAUGUGAAAUCCCUCGACUUAAUUGAGGAAGUGCAUUGGAAACUACUAGACUAGAGUGCAGGAGGGGAGAGCGGAAUUCCUGGUGUAGAGGUGAAAUUCGUAGAUAUCAGGAGGAACAACGGUGGCGAAGGCGGCUCUCUGGACUGUUACUGACGCUGAUAGCGCGAAAGCGUGGGGAG
rnacentral:rRNA from 1 species